CGCCAACACUGGGACUGAGAACUGCCCAGACUCCUACGGGAGGCUGCAGUCGAGAAUCAUUCGCAAUGGGCGAAAGCCUGACGAUGCGACGCCGUGUGAGUGAAGAAGGCCUUCGGGUUGUAAAGCUCUUUCGCUUGGGAACAAAGGGAGGCGGG
rnacentral:rRNA from 1 species